rnacentral:lncRNA from 1 species
GGCCAAACAAGUUUAGCAGCAGUGUCGAUCGUUCUGUGCCACAGUCCAACAGGACUGAGAUACCAAUGGUUAAACUAGCGAUAGAACAUACUGCUAUUGCUAAAUAGAAAUAACCAAGCACCUGCACUUUGGAGCAGGACUUGGGCUGGUCCUAGGACUUGGACUAGGAGAGGCUGGUGAAAGAAAGUUGUUUCUUCACUCAGCUGAUUCUGCUUACUGCUGAGGGUAACUUUACAGGUGAGCAAAGCUUGUGGGGUAGACAGAAAUGCCGAUCUAUUUUUGGGUUUGCUCCUUUGGGUACUACAUUUGAAUGCUUUGAUACUUUCCAGAACAAGCUUUGGGCCGGAAACACUUCAGCAACUUUUGUUUGACACACAAGCUCCAUGUGGGUCUCCUUGCACCAUGCUACUGCAAGCAGAAAUCCUGGGCAGAGUGGUGCAAAGAUGUCUGAGUGGCAGAAAGCAAAGCUAAAAUGGCUCUGCACUGAAAUUAACAAAUAGAAGAGCAGUUGGCUUCAAUACUUGAUGCUGACCUGAUGGUUUUAAGCUGCCAUUUAAAAAUAAGCAGAAGUGUAGUCAUUAAGGACAAAAUCUCUCCUUGGACAUAUGUAGAUGACUUAGCAAAAUCUGUGCUAACAGCUGAAACCCUAUUGCACUAUGAUUUUUUAAAACAGUUUAUCACACCCAUAAAGUCAACAUCUGCUUUGCUCUUCGAUGAAUGUACUCCAGGAGCUAUUUCAGACAAUUGUGGAGUUGCCUUGAGAGAUUGUUAUCUGGUAUUGUUUCUCUUGCAGUGAAGUAUGAUACUAUAGCAUGUGGAAAUCUACUGUUCAGUGUGUUUUCUGCCAGGAUUCAUCCCGCGUAAUGCUAGCUGCUUGGUCAGGCUGCCUGAAAUAGCAAAGUCUCACUCCUGGCUCCUGCUGUAGGUAUCUGAGCAGUCUUUGUUAUGUCCUUUUGUGCACCGCGACGUAUGACUGAUUCACUGCCAAGAUGCAUCCAUCCUUCAGACCCUGAACAAAGUCUCCCAGGCCAGUGACUGCUCCCAUGGGUAUCUGGGAGAUGUACCUGGACAAGGGUGGAGUCAAUCAGGGCCUUGCAGUUUCAGGUAGCCCCGUGCAACAAUGAGCAACAUUACAGCGGGAUGUAAUGGCCGUAAGUUUCUCUAGGGGAGGUUCAAGUUGGAUAUUAGGAAAAAUUUCUUCUCAGAAAGAGUGAUGAAGUAUUGGAAUGGGCUGCCCAGAGAGAUGGUGGAGUCACUGUUCCUGGAGGUGUUCAAGAAAAGGGUAAGUGUGGCACUGAGGGACAUGGUUUAGUGGGAAUGAUGGGGAUGGGUUGACUGUUGGACUAGAUGGUCUUAGUGGUAUUUCCAACCUUUACAAUCUAUGCUAGUGGCAGGUCUUACUUUGCUGUACUGCAGUCAUAUGGAAGAUGAGCAAGCUGUCUUCAUAUUGCUUGGGCUGUCAGGGUACAUCUACACAGCGGCUCAUCUUAUUUGUGAUGGACACUCUUCUGAAGAUAAGUAUCUUUGCCCUUUGAAGAUACUUGCCUCCCUUCACUGACCAAGAGGUUCGCGGGACAACUGAUUUGAACUACACAGCCAGUCUUUAGAUGACAAAUGGAAAGGUGAACGCACUCUCAAUGAGCAGAUAAACGUCCCUCUGGAAUGUUUCCUGAGACAUUACCACUGGUAGCUCUGGAUGAAGUCAUGCAUUUUAGGAAGGGAUCUGCAUGACAUAGCAGUCCAAAUGUAGCUGAGGAAGAUUGUCCUGUAUAGAAAAGAAAGCCCGAAUGCACUGUCCCUUCGGCUGUUUUGAUUUGUUUUGUUUUGUUUAGUUAAAGCAUCUGCCAGAAAAGACAAGUAAGUACAGAAAAGAACUUCUGUUUUUUUGGUGUACUUUUACAACCAUUCACUAGCCUAUUUUUUAAGUAUACCUGCAUGAAAAAGUGUAUUUCCACAGUAUGCUUCCUGCAGCACAUUCAUUUUUAUGUACCUUGUUGUUUGAUGGUUCAUUUCCCCUUGUCCUCCUAAAACAGUGUAACACACCUUUUAAAAUCAUCAUCAAAACUGAACUAAAAUCUGACUCUGGCUCAGACAAUUCCUAAUACUGUUUGUACUGAUGUAGUGUGUCACUUCAAGGCAAAAUCUUCUCCCCAUGUAAUAUUAUAUUGCUGAGAUACUUUCCCACAUAUGGCAGAUAACAAAGUGCUGAGAAGGCAUGAGACAGAAGAGAUCUAAUGGAAGGAAAUGCAGCAGAGUCCUCCUACAGAAAAUUACAGGCUUUUAAAUGUGACUUGCAGAGUAUUUUUUAAAUGUGUUUAUAUCCCAUUUGUGUUUCCUUGUGUUGCACAAAGAAAGCUUGAAACAUGCUAUUUUCUCAAAGCCAGUAACAAUUUCAAAAAGGAAGUGUCUUUUAAAGAGCAAAUGUCGUAUCUGCUGUGGACAACAGAACAGCUGUGAGAAACACAUACCCGGCUCAGAAACCCUUUGCCAACUGUUUGUGCUUCCAGCUCUCUCCUAACCACAACCAUUCAAGUAUAUGUUGUUCAGAGGGGGAGAGAGGCCCUGACAGUUAUGUAUAUAAAAUAGGCUAUAAUUUUGCAGCACAAUGAAGAGUGAAGAGAAAUAAUAUUUUUCACUAAGCAUCUCCUUGUUUUUCACAGGACUUAGCUCCAGGAAAGACCAUUAGUUAACUUCAUAUCCAAGCCUAUACCUUUGUAUAUCCUUUUAGAAACCAGGGAAAAACAAAGUGUGGGGAUGAAGGAAGACACAGAGACAGUUUUAAGUGACAAAUAGUGGGGUGGAACAGAAGGAGGCAGUGACAUGCAAUCCCCUUCUGGGACUUGCAAAGGAUUGCAGAUACGCGGUGGUCACACCUGCCAGCUCACCCAUGUGUCCUGGGGCUUGUUAAUGAGCCCUUUGCUAGAGAUGUAGCUCUCAUUCUGUCAAGAGCUGGAAAGCUUCAAUCCAUUUUCUUCAGUAGUGCGGCUCUCAGUCAUGAGUCACAUCACUCUAAGAAUAAAACUACAUCCAAGUUAACCCCUCCAUCACCUCCUAUGUCUUUUCAGAACCUUCACCAAGGAGGUUUUGGUUUACUGGAUCUUGAACAGCCAAAAUAUCAGAGGAUUAUUACUGCUUGGAGUUCACUUUAUUGUUGAGAUUGCCAUGUCAUCUUCUGAUCCGAGAAGCGGCGAACAUCACAAAAGCUGAAAAUGAAGUCUUUUCUGCUCUGUGGGGCACCUAUCCAAAAUGACUUGGCCUCCGGAGAUAAGCAAUAAGUAACGGAUACACUGAUUUAUUUUUCUUCGGUACUGAAACUAAGAACUGACAAUUCAAAUGCAGAGGUUAGAGGCUUGAUUCUUUAUCAUAUCAGUUUUGCACUGGAAUAACUGAUACGGUGAGGUAAAGAGGCAGGCCUGGUAUAUACCUGCCUUGUGUCAGAACUGCUUUAGCCAUUUCUGGUGAAAGAGUUUCCAAAGAGUCCCUGUAGAGUUGAGAUAAAACAGUAAUUAUUUAAUGCUGAAGGUUAUGAUAAUGUUAGAGAUUAAUGUCAGAGCUUAGGCUUUAAAUUAUUGCAUGUUAGGAUGACAAGGGUGUUUUUAGAAGUUUUUUUCUCGUUGGUACUCUGUACAGCAUCCCACUGAAACUGUUUUCAUCCACACUGUCUUCCCAUCCUGGUCUGUCCUGCAGCUGAGCGCACAGCAAGCCUCACUCAUCGUUUGGCAUAGGAUCCUGAUCACCUUCAGUGCAUACACUGCACACCUCUAGAUCAUAGAAUCAUAGAAUCAAAGAAUCCUUGGAGUUGGAAGGGACCUCUGAAGGCCAUCUAGUCAUCAACUCCCCUGCAAUGAACAGGGACAUCCACAGCUAGAUCACGUUGCCUAGGGCUUGAUCCAGUCUCUCUUUGAAAGUCUCCAUGGAUGGGGCAUCAACCACAUCUCUGGGCAACCUGUUCCAAUGCCUCACCACCCUCACUGUAAAAGACUUUUUCCUUAUAUCCAACUUAAAUCUACCCUCUUUGACCUUGAAACCAUUUCCUCUUGCUCCGUCACCACAGGCACUGCUUAAGAGUCUGCCACCUUCUUUCCCAUAGCCCCCCUUUAGAUACUAGAAGGCCACUAUCAGGUCACCUUGUAGCUUCUCUUCUCCAUGUUGAACAGUCCCAGUUCUCUCCACCUGUCCUCGUAGGAGAGGUGUUCCAUUCCAUGGAUCAUUUCUGUGAUCUUCCCUGGGAGCACUCCAACAGGUCUAUGUCUCUCCUGUACUGAGGACUCCACAUCUGGAUGCAAGAUAUGAAGAUCUUUCUUCUCCUCAGGAAUAAGUCUCUCCCUCCUUGGAGAUCACCAAAAACUGCCUGAAUGUGGUCCUGGGCACCCUGUUCUGGGCCCUUGCCUACCAACAUCCACCAUUCCACGAAUAAAGGGCCUUGGUUGUAGCUCUGUGAUGACAGUACUGAAAUGCGUCCAUCCCCUGUGAUAAACAGCAGAUUCAUGAACUUUGGGAUUUCCAACUUGGCCACUGAAUAGGUUUUCUGUGUGUGGUAUUGAGUGUCAGCUAGGGGUGGGGUAUAGAAAAGUCACACCAAUAGUCUACCAAACCGUCUCUAUGCACAGCCUUGAUGGAGAAUGUUUUGUGUCAUGUCACUUCAGCUAUACUGGAAGAAACAAUUUUUUUUUACAUUUGCUGUGCUUCUACUAGAAGCCUCUGUUAGCAUAACUAAUGACAAAACCAUUUCAGUGGUGAUGGGCAGCAAAACAACGUACUGCGGGACAAGUGGUUCUAAAUUUAUCCAAUAAUCAAAAACAUCAAAAUCACUAGAUACCAAUACCUAUACAUUAUCCGCUAUCCUGUUAUUUUGUCCAGUCCUGCACUGCUCUACUCAGUCCUUCCUCCAGGGCUGUUAGGGUUGCUGCAGUGCCUCUGCCUUCCAGGUUACCCACCUUCCAGGUUACAGGUGGGAUGCAAUUGAAGGGAUCCUCUACCUCUCCAUUUUCCUCUUCCCUCUUCCCUCUCCCACUGAGACUUUAGGAUCCUAAGACUGAAAAUUAUAUUCGUACACCCCACAAAAAGGAUGCGGUUAGAAAUUAGUAUUUUUUAAAAGUACGAAGCUAGACAUAAAUAGAAUUCCAGCAAUUUUAAAAUAAAUGAAAUGUAAAUCCCUAAAUGCCAUUUGUUCUCUCUGGAUGUAUUUCUUUGCGUUUGUAAAAAGAUCAUGUACACGGUUUUGUCAUUUAACUGCUAGUUAAAUGUGCCAGAAAAAGAAAGCUGAAGAAUUAAAUUUCAUUAUAAUUAACAGAACAAAUAUAAUUAGAAUUUUAGUAGUGCAAGUUGCCAUGCUCCUUCAGGUGUCCUGGUAGUAUUUUGAGUUAGAUAACUUUUCAACUCUUCGUUUCUUAGCUGCUGAGGAGCUGCUCCCACACACCGCGGAUGUGUCCAAACACGCUGUCUUUGCCAUGCAAGAAUGAAUUCACAAGGACUUGUAAUUGUAUCAGAACUGAUUUUAUGCCAAACAGCCAACCAUUAUUAAUGACUUCGAGUCAUUACAGUCCAACAUGGAUAUGUCCUGGAUUUCUGGUGCCUGGGAUAUUUUCCAGCUCAAAUUAAUGGUUUCUGAGUGAUGCGAAAAACUGAAGGUUUGUGAGUUGCUGUAUGCAAUCCAUGUUCUUUUCUAUACACUUCUGAUUCAUCUCCGAUGCUGUGUCUUUUCAUCUUUCUCAGUGAUACAUGCUUUUGAUUUUCGAGUAUCUUGGGCCAAAACUCAUCAGUCAGAUUUUAUCAUCCUCUUAUACUCCCUUUAACUCUUCCCAUAGUGAAGAUUUCAAAAGCAAUCUAGAAAUUCUCUCAAUAUCUACAUGAGAGCCAGGAGUAGGAAAUUUAUAUCUUUCUGUAUUUCUCCUCAGGACGGAGUAGAGUAGACAAACGUUUCCUGGAAAGGGAUUCUUUUUGACCAGAAAUUUGAGUAAAUUUCUCAUCUCUUACAAGAUACGAGUGGAUUUGAGUUGUAAGAAAGUCACAUUAUUUGUCAUCAGAUCUACUGGUGUAUAGAUUUGAGUAGACUCUCUAAAUGUUUCUUCAACCCACUGUAGGCUGUCUCCGUAUUUAAACCACAAAGGGUGUAUAAUCUUUGAAAAAAGGUUGAAAGCAUCUUCCUACUGUGACAUUUUUAUGUAGAAAGCUGACUGCUGUGGGGCUGAGUCUGUGUUGGAAAAAAGUCAUUUUCAAAGAAGAUAAAAUUCAGACUUUUACUUUCAGUGAUUUGAAUGGUGAACUCUUUGAAAUUAUGUUUCUUGUUUCUCAUCUUUAACAAGACUGACCAGCAAAUGGUUCUGUAAACAAAUGAUUGCCCUAUUAAAUGAAAUUUAUUAUGCUAAGGCAUACAACGGUGAGUGAACUUUUUUACUUUUUUUUUAAUCCUCAUUAUUAUUUAUUAUUUGGUAUUUUUCUACAAAAGGAGGAGAGAACAAUAUAUUCAGAAAGCACUUUUCAUACUUUUUUGUCUUGCUCACCUGCAGGAAUGUUGGCUGUAAUACACAGGCAGGCCCAGAGGAGGGCUGUGAAGAUGACCAGAGGGCUGAAGCACCUCUCCUAUGAAGGAUGGCUGAGGGAGCUGGGCUCCUUUAGCUUGGAGAAAAGAAGGCUCCAGGGAGACAUCACUGCUGCCUUCCAGUACAUGAAGGGAGCUUACAAGCAGGAGGGGGACUGACUUUUUAUGUGGUCUGAUAGUGAUAGAACAAGAAGGAAUGGUUUUAAACUAAAAGAGGGGAAAUUUAGGUCGUAUCUUAGAAAGAAAUUCUUUACUCAGAGGGCAGUGAGGCACUGGCACAGCUGCCCAGAGAAGCUGUGGGUGCCCCAUCCCUGAAGGUGUUCAAGGCCAGGUUGGAUGGGGCCCUGGGCAGCCUGAUCCAGUUGGUGGCAGCCCUGCCCAGGGCAGGGAUUGGAAGUAGGUGUACUUUUAUGCCCCCUCCAACCUAAGCCAUUCUACGAUUCGAUGAUACAAGAGUGUAUGGGAACAAUUAGGUCACAGCCUGAACUGAUGAUUGAGCAGCUGGUGAAGGAGCAUAGACAGACCUGGGAGCACAGGUGCAAGCAAUUCACCUGAGUGACCGAAAGUGGUGGACUCUGGGUCCCCACCUCCCUAAUCUCACUUAAGUGCUGGCAGCCAAAGGAGAAGCAUCUCUACUUCGACAUUACUUCUUUUGGGAGUUUUCCCUGCAAACCCUUAUCCUUGGAAAAGGGUAAACUGUUCCUUUUUUGUUACUGAAUUAUGAUCAAUACCUUUCUUGGAUGACCUGAAAAUUGUUUAAUGGCAGCUAUAUCCUCUACCUUAUACAAUACAAAGGGUAUAUUUUUUUCUUGUUUAUAGGAAGAGUGCUCUGCCUGGGCUCCUUUACCGUGGCUAUUUAAUGGCUGAAAAACUGAAAAAAGAACUAUGUUUUCUUCACAAGCUGCGACCUUCCUAAAGUAAUCAUCUAGCACAAGUUUGCCUCCUGGACUAUUCCAGAAAUUGAUCUUCCAGUAACUGAGAGAACUCAAAAAUACCCAAUGCUGAUGUGGCUUCAGUAGUCAUUGUGGUCUCUUCCUCAGAAGAAAGUCUGAAAAUAGGGGUCCCCACAGGGUUUUGUUCUGUAGUUUACAGAGGCUAUAAAUAUAUUAAUCAACCCUAAUGAUUCUCCAGAAUAUAUUCACUUCAAUACUAAUGGCUAGAUUGCCCCAUAAUGAAGAGAGAUUUUAUGAUAUUUUUGUCUAGUUCUAUUGCACUUUUAGUGGCUGGAGAGAUUCCAUUUAAGUUAAUCUCGUGUCUCUCCUUCAGGAAGCAAGGUCAUGUCCAGUAUCAGUUAAAUAUAUGGCACUACGCCUAUCAAGACUUUUGGAUCUUGCAGUUCCAGGGGCAGAUUUCAACACACGCAGUCCUUUACUAAUAUUAAAUAGCAAAAUUGCCUUAAGGAUCAUUAAAACCGUUGUGAUUUUUUUGUGCAUCUGCUGUUUGUCUCUCAGUGGAAUCUGACCUCUCCUUGCUUUGUGUGCCUUGAAGGGUAAGACUUCUUUGAUGUUCUCUCUCUGUAUUCACUCUUCAGUGCAGUCCCUACUGCUCCUGGAACAGCUGUUCCUCUGCUGCUCAAUCUCAGUUCUUUGGCUUCUUUCACCCUGUCUGUAAACAUGGCUGUAUGUUCCAAAUAAGCUUUCCAACACUCAUUCUCUGCUAGCAUUUAUCAGACCUUAUUAGUUAGUGUUAGUAUUUCCAAGUCCAGUUUGCCAAUGGUCUUUCCUAGCCAAGUGGGCUUCUUUCUAUUCACAUCCUCCUUAAAGCUGCUUUAGGACCACUGGCACUUCACAUCUCCACCGUAUCCUUCAGUGAGCCUGCAUUCCUGCUUUCUGCUUUUACCUCCUGAACCUCCUUGUUCCCUUCAGCACCUCCUCUGGCAGAUCCUCCCACUCCCUCUCCACUGUCUGUUGGCACCCUUCAGAUUUUCACCCUCGGUCCUCCUCCCUUCAUCUUUGUAGUACCUAUUUUGGCUAACUCGUCCUCCCCAUCAGUUUCUGUUACUUAUAACUCUUUUCCUCCUGUUGUGAAUUUGUUGCUUCUUUGAUAUUGCACUGCCAUCCUAAACUCUCUUUUGAUGGGGCUUUCUUAGCUAUCUCAAGUACGCUCUUUUCUCCCGCUUUAAGUUAUUGUACCAUCUUCUUGUCUUGCAGCUCUAAUGUCAGUGUUGAUUUCUCAUUCUCUCCUUAUGUCUCUAUCUACACAGUUAUUAAAUCAGAUUUUAUUCCAUAUGACAUUAGCUAGUCUAUCCGUGGCAGUUUGUCUUCAUUGCUUCAGUACUUGUCCAUUUUUGCUCUCAUUUCCAAGCAUCUUUUUGCUAUUUUCUAAAACAAAUUAGCUAUGCAUAUGUUCACUCUUUUCUAACCAUAUCUCCCUUUAAUCCAAAUCAUUUCACCUGCUUCCUCAGUCUUACUACAUAAUCCCUUUUAAUGCUUUGGAUAACCUCUCUCCCCGAACCUCUUUGAAUUUACCUACAACCUUUUUUUUUUUUUUUUUUUUUUCCCUGCCAAGGUCCUCAUUUCAUUGUCAUUUUUUUACAGGCUUCCUGCAGUCUAGAGAGGAGGUUGGUGCAGUAUCCUCCUGCAGACAAAGUCCCCGCUGCGUUCUUAAAGACAGUGAUGUAGCACCUUUGGUGGGCGUCUGCUGACAGCCUCAGAGGAUGGAGUUGAGGUCACUGCCCCAGUACAUGCACUGUGCGGACCUCCCGAUGUUGUCUUACCUCUCUUUGAAUGGCAAAUACUGCCACCGGGGGACAAUGCGGCGGUUAUCGGAGCGAAAGGGGCAGAACAACCUGUAGCACUGUCUGUCUCAGGAUCUUGGAGGUGCACUCUCAGAGUCACCGGCUUGCCAGAACUCUCCUGGAUUUACACACAGAAAUGCGGAGACAGAGAAAUGAAAACGAACUGUCAGCUGCUUCUGAAUCCAGAGCGCUGAAUGUUGCCGUGAGCCCAAAAUAACAAACUGUGUUUCAAGGCACAGACCCUGAAGACGAAGCACGCAUUCCUGAAAUGGUUCUGACAGCGGCGUUACGGAUAAGCUGCACGAGCUUCUUGAUCCGAUCCGGUAGCAGAACACAUGGCAUUGUUUGGAAAUCACAGACGUGUUCUAGAGAGGGUGGAGGGAAAAGAGAUGUCUGUAUCAGAGUUGGCAGUUGCACUUGUCUUUGUGGGAGAACAGGUUGCCUACAGAAUAGUGUAAGAAAGGGUCUUUUCUCUCUCUGAAGUUAUUCUUCAAUAAUUUAAUUUUGUACAUUUAGGUCCCUUCGCUGUAAGAAAGACAUUGAGGCCCUGGAGUGUGUCCAGAGAAGGGCAACAAAGCUGGUGAGGGGUCUGGAGCACAGGCCUUAUGAGGAGCGGCUGAAGGAGCUGGGAUUGUUCAGUCUGGAGAAGAGGAGGCUCAGGGGAGACGUUAUUGCUCUCUAUAACUACCUGAAGUUGUAGUGAGCUGGGGGUCAGCCUCUUCUCCUGUGUAACUAGUGAUAGGACUAGAGGGAAUGGCUUCAAGCUGUGCAAGGGAAGGUUCAGGCUGGAUGUUAGGAAAUAAUACCCCUCUGAAAGGGUGGUCAGACACUGGAAUGGGCUGCCCAGAGAGGUGGUGGCGUCACCGAGCCUGGUGGUGUUCAAAGAACAUUUGGACAUUGUGUUGAGGGACAUGGUUUAGUGAGAACCAUUGGUGAUGGGUGAAUGGUUGGACUGGAUGAUCCUGUGGGUCUUUUCCAACCUUUGUGAUUCUAUGAUUCUAUGAUUUUUUAGUCCUUAUUUUUGCCUUCAAGUGUCUCUCCCCGUUUCACCAGAACACCUGUCACUGCUUGGAUUUAAUGCUUUGUAACUCGCUUUGAAGAUCCACAAAUGACACUGAUGCCAUGCAGCAUUUUAGCUUUCCUUCCUAGAUUCUAACAGCUAAAGAAUCUGAGGAUGAUUCAUAAACACAGAAAUGUGUAGGUAAUAAAAAUCAGUGCAUAUAAAAUGUAUGUAACUAUAAAAUUUAACUUCUAGCUAUAAAAACUAAUAUCUACAGGCAGAGGAGAAGCACUUAUUAACCCUCUUACUGUAUUCAGGGCUUUUAAGGAGGUUUGUGGAAUGAACAAAUUUUACACUCAUUUUGGUAAAUGUGCCAAGGAAAGACCAUAUGGUGUUCUGCAGGCAUAAAAUCUAUUAUAAACUCCGUAUCCACUUCUCAGCUACUUUCUCAGAGCAGACAAUGAGGACCCGCAGGCGGUUUGUUACUUGGGAUUCAUGCAUGCUCCACACUCCUGGGCUCCUCCUGCAGAUCUCCACGCUUCUGGAGAGGUGUGAGAAAGCUGUACCUUGUGAUCCAGUACUCACGUUAACUGUUGUCCCCUGACAGUGUGCCUUCUGCAUCUUCCUGGGAAAACACAGUUCUGAGGCAGGGCAGGUUUUAAUGCAUGGAGCAAGACACGAUGCUAAAAUUCCCAUGGUUAGAGAAAGCUGUGAGUGGGUUUGGAGGAUGUUUGUCCCAAGCUGCCCUUGGUCACUCAGUGCACCCUAUUACUGCUCCAGAUUUGGGGGAAGAUGGAAAGCAGAGAGUGUUAUGCUUCAAACAGUGUUAUGGGCAAAAGGGAAACACAUUUGAAUCCCAUGAUUUCUUGUUAGCGUGAUUUAAAUCUGUCUUAGUUUCAGCUGGGAUGGAAUUGUUUUCUUCAGAGUGUCUGGCAUGAUGCUGUGUUUUGGUUCCAGGAGAAAAACAAUGUUGAUAACACACCGAUGUUUAUAGUUGCUGCUAAGCAGUGCUGCAGAGAGCCAAGGCUGUUCUCAGUGAAGGGCCCAAGGAGCUGGGAGAGGUCAGAAUUAGGACAGCUGACUUAAAUCGGCCAAAGACAUAUUCCAUAACACAUGACAUCAAACAGAAGGACUUUUGAAGGGGGUGGGAGUUCAUCUCACUUUGUUUCGCUGCUUGGAGGCUAGCUGGGGUUGGACAGGGAGUAGUGAGCAAUUGCUUGUGCAUCACUUUUUAUAUAUAUUCAUACCUAUAUAGUCAUCAUUAUUAUCCUUUUUCUCUGUCUUAGUAAAUAGUUGCAUUUCAACCCAUGAAUUCCACUUUUUUCCCCCUGAUUUACUCCUCCAUCCCACUGGGAAGGGAGGAGUGAGCAAAAGACUGCGUGGUGCUGAGCCACCUGCCAGGUUAAGCCAUGACACAAUCCUACCGCUCAGGUGCAGAAUCAGAUCUACCUACCCACUGCAGAAAAAGAAAUAAAACAAAGAAAUGAAUACUGCCAUGCAAGAAAGGUCUCAGUAGCCUUAACAAUACAGCUAAACGUUUUGCAAACACCUUUCUCAAUUUCUACCCCUUUUCCCAUUCUUAUCCUCACCUUUCCUCUUGGGCUUUGGGCUGGUGCAGAGCAGGUACAGCCACACCAGUCUCCUGCUGGGAGGAACACGGCUCCCAUGGCUCCUUCUUCCUCAUGCUUAGAAUCUGCAUAGGGGUCAUUUUUGUGUGGUUGCUAACACACAUCCACACCUUGCUCUUUUUAAACCUAAUUCAACUCUGUCAGUCCAUAAUGCAUCCAAAUUUACUCAAAAAGUGGUGCACGUUAGGUAUGUUUAAUACUUGUUCUUUAUUUCCCUUGUUGCUCCUGAAGGUGUUUCUGUCCAGAUGCAGCAUUUAUCUAACAGGCAGUGGGUGAACUGAUUAUAGCUGGUGGGUCUCCAGCACCAGCCUGCCCUCCAUCCCUUCUCAUCCCUUGCCUCUCUCCUCUUCACUGCACCCCAUUCACCACUUCUCAGGAGCUUUGUUAUCAUACCAACCCUGUCGUUCUCUAUACUUCAUCAUUACGUUAGUCACAAAUAUCUCAUUCUCCAUGGAGUAACUGCUUGUUACAACUGUCCGUAUAAAACUAUGCUAAUGCCAUACAAGAUGAAACAAAGCAAAAUGUAGGAAACUAAAUAAAAGCAAAACUCUGAGCAGGUCAAGACAGCCUGACAAACUGCUCCUGAGCCCUGCAGACUGCAAGCACUGUGACCAUUGCUCCAAUGGCAUCGCCCUGUUGCUGGUAUGAGGGAGCCUGCUCUGGGGGUCUUGCUCAUCACUUUACAUCACUGGGAGCUGUGUGCUGGCUGGUUUGCCCUGUUUUCCUCCCUGUCUGCGUGUGGCAGCUGGAAGAAGCAGGCAAGCCAAAAAAGUCAUAUUCUGCAACCCUUCUGUAUUUUCUGUGUAAAUGACUGUGAGUUUUAUUUCAGCCUGGCAAUGGCAGCAUUGAUGGGAGAAGCUAACAAGCAAUUUACUUCAAUGAGGACGUACUUGAGGCCCAAUUUGUUUCUGACUGAUGACAGCAGUAGUCUACCACUGGCUUCAAAGAAAGCUCGAUGAGCAUUACUCAGUGGCAGUAAUGCUGCAUCUCCUAUAGUCUGCAAUUGAAGUAGAAGAGAUACUGCAAUCUCUGUAAUUGCUUCACUGUGUAAAAAAGCUUUUGUCUUUGUAACAGGCUUUGUUUUAAUAUGAGCUAGAAGGCAUAUAAGAGUAUCUUCUGUAAUAAAAAUAGCUGUUGAUUCUUACUUCACGGGAAAGUCAGCACUGAAAAGAGAACAGGGAAAAUGUGCUUAUUUACAUAGGAGAAACUUAAAAGAAUGUUUUCAAUACCUUUCAUAAAUCAUACAUCUGAAAACUGAGAAUGGCAGUCUGUUUAGAAAUGCAAAUUUCAUAAUAAUAAAGCUGGUGAUGAUUGGAUAGCAAAAUUAAUAGGAUAAAGAAAAACCCAGCAUUAUAAUCUGUGCAGUUGAACUCCAAUGUCUUCAGUGGGGAUCUUAUUGAUGCAAGUUCCAUUCUUAAUUAAGGAGUUUAAUAUGACUUCUGAAUUUUUACUAGGCACUUUCAAAUGGUGCAUUCAUUGAGGUCUCUGUCUUUACUGGAUGGAUGUGUAGAUGUCAGCACAGCAGAUUGGUCUCAUGGCACUGUGGUCGCUUACAUUCAUCGUUACAGCAUUUGGGUGAGACGUAUUGCCCCUUUGAUAUGCAAAUACGAUAUUUUCUGCAGAUAGGAAAAAAACUGAUACUUAGAUUGGACAUUUUAAAUACUGCUGCGUACACUCUUUGCUAAAUAAUGUACAGUUUACAUAGCUUUCAUAUCUCCACAUCCCAAAUACCAUAUUAGCAUUAAUAAAGAAUACUAUGUAAAAAUUUUCCAUCACAAAGUAAAAAACAAGUUCCAAGUACGUGAGGAGGCUGAUCGUCACUUUUGUUCAUGCUGUAAACAGCUGCAUUUGUGAUCAGUAAUUGUUGCUACCGUUGACUUUAAAGGGGCUCAUGCAUUUCUUGAAAGCAAUCUAAUUGGCCUGCAAAACGAAUAUAAAUUCAUUUUUGUUUUCCUUGCUGGUCUGCGUGAAAGAUAAUGCCAUGUUUUUCAGGAUGAUCAGUCUUACACAGGCAGUAUCAAAGUAAUCUCAAACUAAUUAACGAACACUUGAGCUAUCAGAGUUUAAUAAGUAGAUAAUUGUAGACUCUCUGCCUUGCAGGGGCUGCAGCUGCCGAUACGCACAGGGUGACCUUCCUGUUUCCGAAUGCUAUUAAGUCCUAAUGGCAGGAGACCUCUGCAUCCUGAGGGAAGGAUUUAAACCACCGAAACUGCGCCGGCUGGCAGAACAGAAUUUACCAGCCCUUGGAGGAAGGCUAGAUGGAAUCUGAACAACCUCUGGGUCAGCCUGUGGCAGCAGAGGAUCCCUCCUCCCAUGGAAGAGGUGUUCGUACCGCUCAGGUGCCGCAGUGCUGCGCCGGCAGUCCCACCACAGCCCCCAGCAGAGGCACCUGGCAGGGCUGCCUCCAGCCCAGCUCAACAACACGAGCUGAACGAGCCCAAGUGCUUUCUGAAAGCACAGCUGUGCCCAGAUCGGGGCAGUUCCUGGCAUCACUAGGUGCGAUUUUUCCAUGCUCAUAGCCAGCAUAGUUACGCCUCUGAAACUUUGUAGUAGAGACCUGGCUGGAAUCCUUCAGAUCCUCGCUCUCAGCCUUGGCAAAGCAAGCCCUCUAACUCUGUUGGAGCCAAGGCAGCUCAGCUCUUCCCAUUUAACAGUCCAGACCUUGUUCUUUCAGUGACCAGAAAAGUUGUUCCUGCGGGAAUGGCUUAUCUCUCUGUUCACUGCUUCAUAUCCUGCCUAAAACACUACUAUGGGAUGUAUGGCUGCUCUACUGGAUGCCAAUAUCCAUCCUGUGCUUUUGGAAAGGCAAUUCAAAUUCUGUGCACAGGCUUCUGGCAUGCUGAAAGCUUUUGGUUGCCUGUGUCCAAAGGGCUUACUUGUACAUGUGUGCAGUGCUGGGUUAGCUGGCAGAAAAUAUCACAUUUCCAAACCCUCUGCAAGGAAUCAGUGCUGAAGUUCUGCCUCCCUGAUCUUGUAUUGAUGUUUCCUUUGCUAAUGGCAUGUUAGAACACAAGUUUUAUUUACCCAGGAUAAUAUUUCAUUUUGUCCAUGUGCUGAGGUGAUAAAGUACUUAAAUACAUUGGAUGAUCUUUUCCUAAUGCCAUUUGGUGUGUUUAUGUUGUGUUGCCAUUUUUUAGAGAUAAAAAGAGGCUGAAAGAGCACCAGAGCAUGGAAGAGAUACUUAUGAGUGUUGGGCCAUCAUCAGAGGAAAAAAGAGAGACAAAUAUGAAAAAGAAUGAGUGCUGUGUUUAGUACUUUCUUCUCAUCCUUCACACGGGCAUUUCUGGAAGAGUUCUGGUGUGAUACAGUGUGGUUAAGAUAAGCAGUGGCUGCAAAAGUGCAUAAAAAGUUAGAGAUGACCGACUGCGAUUUUUGCCCAGCCACCUCACAGUGGUGCUUCUCUUAGUGGUCCCUCAUUCAUUUGGACAAAGUAUCUUAGCACGAUAGGAUGUGAAACUUGGCCAUGAGGGGAGGUACACAGAUAAUUUGCUGGUUCUUUCAGCACUUGGAGAAGUUGAUUAUCAUCUGAGAAAGAUUCUCAAAUAUUGUUGAGUGCUGGUUCAAAUGCGACAUAUAAAUGAAGUGAGUUGGGGCUGUCUGCUGAUAUCCUCUAAAGCUACACAGCAGUGCUUCUACAAGAAGUAAGUGCCAGGCAAAGAAACCUGACUUACACAAGUGCAACGUUAUGGACGUGAAAACAAUCAAUGUCCAGAAUGAAAGGAGGCCAGAGAAAUAGUGGGACUCCCAUCACCCCUGUUCUAUUUUAAGGAAUGGUUGCUAGAUAAUGCCAUUCAUGGAGAGUGAAGAUGAAUGUUCUCCCAGUGAUACUUUACAAUAUUUUCAGUGGUAUAUUUGCUCAGCUUUGUAAAAUCCUGAUACAAGGGAACAAGUAAUAUGCAUCAAGUUUAUCGAAGCUCAUUAAUUUGAUGAAAUAUAUUGGAAGGAUUGAUUUAUUCACAAUAUUAAACAGCUACUUACGUGAAACUCUGCUUUCUGACUGGUAACGUGAGAACACACAUUGGUUGCUUGCUAUUUUGUUAAUACUUUCACAAAACCACAUCAGCCUCUUUGUUUUUCUGCUGUUUCUCACAGUUCAGCAGACAGCAACAUGCACUUAACAAAAAUAGAGAGGCUUAGAGACAUGUGCAAGAGACAGCUUCAGAAAAACUCUCAAGACAUGCUAAUCAUCUCUAAGAAGAAAAUAUGUUAUUGGCCUAGUAACCAAGGAACAGACAAAGCUUCCAGGAGAUAUGCAGACUUUAAAACAAUCUGCAGUAUAAUUCCACAUAAAUGGCACCAAAACAAUCUCCAAGGGAGUUGCUGCAUCAUUUUGUCACAGCUCAGCACAACACUUGGUCACUAAAUGAUGCAGCUCUUUGAUAUCUCAUUCCCAUUUUGGUUUGCUUAGGCAAAUCCAGAUGAUCUCUGCCCUGUGCAUCAGUGGAUGCUACAAUCAUUAUGGCUGUGCUCAGGCCCCCAUUCCACAGGAAGAACCACUGGAAUUGUUUACUAUGGAGAAAAGGAGGCUGAAGGGAGACCUUAUUGCUCUCUUCCAGUACCUGAAAGGUGAUUGCAGUGGGAGCAGGGCUGGUCUCUUCUCACUGGUGACAGGACGAGGGGAAAUGGCCCCAAGUUGCACCAGGGGAGGUUUAGGUUGGAUAUCAGGAAAAACUUCUCUACUGAAAGGGCUGUUAAGCACAGGAAUAGGCUCCCCAGGGAGGUGGUUGAGUCACCAUCCCUGAAUGUGUUUAAAAACCAUCUGGAUGUGGUGCUCAGAGAUAUGAUUUAGUGGAGGGUUGUUAGAGUUAGGGUAGCAUGAUUAGGCUGUGGUUGGACUUGAUGAUCUUUAAGGUCUUUUCCAACCUGAGCAAUUCUACGGUUCUAUGAUUCUAUGAUUCCUGCUCUGGUCUUGGCCAGCACAGAUCACUAACUCCAACCCCUGGCACCUGCACCAUCCCACCAUUCCUUCUGCAGAUGUGAAAUUCAGCAUGAGCAAAACUCACCCAGGUCUAGGUCAUAACAAGCCCUAGGUUAGAAAAACGUGGUGUUGUCAAUUUUAGUUGGUGUUUUGACUAAAUAUGCAAGGAUUAAUGGUACAAGUGGUUAUUCCAGCAUAUCUGAGAGGCCGUAUCCUCUGGAAAGGUGAACAAACAGCAUGACAGUGGCGGUGGGCUGCCUGGCAUGGGGUGGGUUCUUGUUCAAAUAGCGUCCUCCUCUCACCAAGCAAUAUCUGCCCGUGGUCUAAUAUUGAGUUAAACUGUUCUUACCUUAAAUAAAUGAAAGAUGUCUUAGUGCUUCAUUAUUGCAUAU